rnacentral:rRNA from 1 species
UACGAAGGGGGCUAGCGUUGCUCGGAAUCACUGGGCGUAAAGGGUGCGUAGGCGGGUCUUUUAAGUCAGGGGUGAAAUCCUGGAGCUCAACUCCAGAACUGCCUUUGAUACUGAAGAUCUUGAGUUCGGGAGAGGUGAGUGGAACUGGCGAGUGUAGAGGUGAAAUUCGUAGAUAUUCGCAAGAACACCAGUGGCGAAGGCGGACUCACUGGCC